rnacentral:lncRNA from 1 species
UUUCGGCAGUUUUGUCGAUCUGCGGUUUCUCGAAGACGUUGCUGUGGUCUCAUCAGUGCGAGAGCAAGGCAAGUCAUGCAUUACAAUUAAUCAUAUUGUACCCAAUUUACAAAUAUCCCGCAUUUCUAUUAAAUUUUGUAUUCUUUUACAAUGUCAUGUGGGAUGGGUCCUACUACUCAGCCAUAUAUUGUUUACCUUAUGCCAUUGAUAACUUGGGCAUCAAAAUGAUUAGAUGUUGGUUUAGGAAAUACUUAGCCAUGCUUAGUUCAACUAGUACAUAAAUAGGGAUCACAUUAUUACAUAGACUUUGACUAUUAGCAUAGCUUCGGAUUGGUGCCACCGCAAGGGUGUUAGUUAAUUAAAGGGGCAAUUGUGUUCUUGCCCCUACUUUGCAGUUCAAUUGUGAUUUUACCCCUGUUUUUAGGGUUUGUGAUUUUGCCCCUACUUUUUUGAAAUGAAGCACCCGUUUGCCCCUUUUUUUUGACGGUAGUUUGAUGGGCCCGAAAUUUCCCAAUAAAGCGAAGAAAGAAAAUGAUAUUAUAAUUUGUGAAUGACCAUUCUACCCUUGGUUUACUAAAAGGGCUUACCAUUAACCACUUCUCUUGCUGGAACGAUUUCCCCAAAUCGAAAACCUAGCGACAAGCGGCGGCGGCGGCGGCGACGGGCGCGGCAGGGAGGCGCGGCGGCCCCGCGGGCCAGCGCGCGGCAGGGAGACGUGGCGGCCCGGUGGUCCAACUGCCAUGGGCCAGCGCGCAGGAGGGCGCAGCGCGGCGGGCGCACGCGCAGGGAUCAAGACUUUUGUAAUUCAGGGGGAGGAGGACACCUGCAGCUUCGUCUUCCUCUGUCAGUGCCUUCGCUACCGCCUCCGAUUCGCAGAGGUGAUUUGAUCGAUUCAGCUUGGAGUUGCAUUGAGCCAUUGGUUGGGGACGCUGAUUUCAUCUUCUUGAUUGCGAAUCGGGGAUGGAUGUGAAUGUGAUUUGCGGGUUUGUAGGCUAGCCGGGAAGGUCGUCGUCAUCACCGGCGGCGCCAGCGGCAUCGGCAGGGCGACGGCGGAGGAGUUUAUUGUCCCAAAUAAUGUGUUCUAAUCAUAUGACGGAGAGGGUGUACAUAUUGUCCCAAAUAAUGUGUUCUGUCAUCUUUUUUAAAUUAUGUCAAAAUUAUUGCUAAAAUUCUGUCAAAACUAUCCUAAAUAUUGUGUUCUGUCAACUUGUACAAAAUUUAUCAACAUUUAGGUCCCAUAUGAAAAAUACGCACGAAUUUAACUUGAAACAUGUCCAAUGUUCAUGCCAAAAUUAUAGUAGGGGUAUAUUUGUCCAUUCACCACAUAUUUAACACCAUUAUAAUGAGGUAACAGAGUAGGGGCAAGC